UGAGGUAGUGCAAGAAAUAACAAUACUGGAAAUUGUAUUUUUAGUGACUCGAAUGAUGGGAAUCCAAACCCCUUUCAGAGUAACAAUUGGAGGGCAAGUCUGGUGCCAGCAGCCGCGGUAAUUCCAGCUCCAAUAGCGUAUAUUAAAGUUGUUGCAGUUAAGAAGCUCGUAGUUGGAUAUCUGCUGGAAGCAAUCAGUCCGCCCGUUUCAAAAGGGUGUGCACUUGGUGAAUUCUGGCAUGAUUCAAUCCUAAUAAUGUUUCGUUAUAUUAGGUUGAUUCCUAGUGUAAUAACGUUAUUAUGGGGAUGACUGUUACUUUGAGAAAAUUAGAGUGUUUAAAGCAGGCUUUUGUUGCCUCGAAUACUGCAGCACGAAAUAACAAUAUAGCAUUUCGGUUCUAUUAUUUUGUUUGUUUUCUGCAGGACUGAAAUAAUGAUUAAUAGGGACAGUUGGGGUCAUUCGUAUUCAACUGUCAGAGGUGUGAUUCUUAGAUUUGUUAAAGACGAACUACUGCGAAAGCA
rnacentral:rRNA from 1 species